GUCCCAUUCGGAUUNUAGUCUGNAACCCGACUACAUGAAGCUGGAAUCGCUAGUAACCGCGGAUCAGAAUGCCGCGGUGAAUACGUUCCCGGGUCUUGUACACACCGCCCGUCACACCAUGGGAGUCGGAAAUGCCCGAAGUCUGUGACCCAACCUACGGGAGGGAGCAGCCGAAGGCAGGUCGGAUGACUGGGGUGAAGUCGUAACAAGGUACC
rnacentral:rRNA from 1 species